rnacentral:lncRNA from 1 species
CAAUGUUUUCCAAAAAGAUCCUAUGAAAAAAAAAAAUCUUAAUUUGAAACAAGUUUAUUGCUGGACUUCCUGGUUUGACUUCCUUAUUUCUACAUUUCAGCUGAAGUUUAGAUGCUUUUUUUAAUCUUCUUUUAUCGUCUUCUAUGACGUCCGUGCGUUUAAACCCAUCUGAAAUGUAAUAUCACAAUGGUGAUUUCUGUUUCUUCUCACAUCAGAACAACGUGAACAUUAUCAUUCAACAGACACUAAAUUUGACGACCUUGCCCAAAAAUCCAUUAGAGCUCCACUUCAUCCUGGAGAGAGAAAAACUCCAACCUCACGUCUCGUUUGAUGGUUCGGCUCUAUUUGUCUCCCCUUCAGUAACUUUAGGUUCCUGAAAUGAUUUUAUUUUAUUUCACCCUCGACUGCUCUGCUUUAUCAUUUUGUUCAUGCACUCCCUGAAUUCAUAUAUUUCUUGAUGUCUUGUGCAUCAUUACACUUUUCUCCAGAUUUCACACUGAUGGAUCUGGACUCUGGAAACUCAGAGACAGGCUGGAAAGAGAAAUGUUCUGGAACAACAGUCCAUGAGUGCAGAUUAAAAGUGCAACAGUGAGUAUAUAAGUGACAAAGUAGUGGAGAUGACAUGGAUUAUCUUCAUAAAAGAACUCUGGUUGUUAAAUGAACCCUGAUCUGCAGGAGGGAUACUAUUUGGGGGAGAUGAAGCUAAUUAAGGGAGAGAGGCAGUUUUUUUUUGGGGGGGGGGGGGGGGAGGGGAGAAAGGGGAGGGGGGGGGGGGGGGGGGGGGGGGGAUGAAUGGAAGAAGGAAAAGUGAGCAGAGUGGAAGUGAGAGGGAGUAACGAGGAGAGGGAGCUUUGGUGCCGCAGCGGGACUGAGUGUCACAACUGUCAGCGAGGUCUAUGUUGGCGGGAGCAGCAGCACCGGACGUUUCACCGACUACCGGCGGUGGGGGGGAGAGAACAAAGCUGAACGCAGGGAUCAGUCAGGGUGAAUCCACCGGACAGGAUCUACCUCUGCCCUCCUCUUCAUCAACUCGACCUACCUGCUGGUCCUCAGCAGCAUGCCCGGCUGGCGGCGGAAUCUCGCCUUUUGCCUUCAACGGAUGCACGAGGAAGCUCUGGUUCUAAGAAGUUCUGGUCCUCAGAGGUUCUGGAUCAUCCUGACAUAACAGCAUCAGCUCCAUCCAUGAUGAGAACCUCCCGUUUCACCACAUCCCAAAGGUUCUGGACUGGACUGAGAUUGUGGAGGCCAUUGGAGUCCAGUGAACUCAUGGCCAUGUUGUAGAAACCAGGUAAAGAUGAUCUGAGCUUUGUGUCAUGGUGCAUGAUCCUGCUGGAAGUCGCAUCAGAAGACGGGUCCAGGAAAGGUUUUCCAUUCUCUUCUGGUCCAGUUCUGGUGAUCAUGUGGGAUUUCUAGCCUUGGUUUCCUGUUCCUAGCUGACAGGUAAAACACCUGAUGUAGCCUUCUGCUGCUGGAAUCCACUGGGAGCAGCUGGAGAGCUAUUUCAGUCCUUGGACAGUUUUUGAACAACACAGCACAGCUUAGAAUCUCUGCUCUGAUUCUUGACUUGAUCCUCAACAGGUUGUUUUCACCACAUCUAGAUGUCUGAAUAAACAGAACAGCAGCUUGACUGAUAACUGGUGUACCUAAGAAAAUGACCACUGAGAUAUUUCUGUGUUGUUCAUUGGCACAUUCCUCUUAUCUCUGACUUCUACAUGAGCAUCAGGACUCUUCAGCAGCGACUGUUUUGGGUUGUUUUUCUUGUUCUUGUUUUGGGCUAAAGAACCUAAAGUUCUCCUCAGAUCACAGCUUUAUUAUUUCCCACCCUUAUUUCAUUCAGAUGACAGGUCACGGUGAGCUCAUUCACACGACUGCUUAAACUAGUUAAACAGGUUUUACUAGUUUCUACUAUCUGGCAGGAAGCACAAGCACAUUCCCAUUUACAGCUAAAGUAGCUAUGAUGCUGGCUAAUGGAGCAGAAACCUGCAUGUGAACUAAGAGCCUCUCCUGAGGUUAAUGAGGUGUGUGUGUGUGUGUGUGUGUGUGUGUGUGUGUGUGUGUGUGUGUGUGUGUGUGUGUGUGUGUGUGUGUGUGUGUCUAAACUCCAUUCUCAGGCUAUAAUAGAGACAAAUUAAUAGAAGAGCACAUUGCUUCAGUAGGGUGAUUUAUGUUUUGUUAAGGCUCCCUUCAGCUGACUCAGGGAGGGUUUUAAGGACGCGUGAUGGAAGGUGGAUGGCAGAUAUGUGUAAAGGUUCCUCACAUAGCAAGGUCCUAGAGGAAGGACAAUUAAACCGUACUCCAACGCUGAACUCACCUAAGAUUUAUUUUUAUUAAAGCCUUAAAAAGUAGCACAGAACAGUUUCCUGCUCGUCUGCCCUACUGGUUAAAGGUGGAAUUACAACUGUUGUAAACAACCCGGCUUUAGCUAGCGCCAAUGAACUAACGCUAACAUGAGCCAACUAAUACUAAAAUAAACAACAAAGUACAAAGAUCCACACUGUGUGACAAAAAACAAAAAACAAAACAAAACAAAAAACAUUUCCAGUAGCAACAAAGCCAGGUCACCAUCAGUCUGUAAUUUUAUAGCCUCUUUUAGCUCCCUCAAACUGGCGGAGGUUGCGUCGAUGUUCACUCUGGUUUUAGCUUUUUGCUUUUCCUCAAAAGGCAUUACUCUGUCACUCUUACAUCCAGGCUGUUCUAUGGUGAAAAUAAAAUGGCAUUCUUCUUGUGCUUUUUACUGACAAACCUCAAACUGAAAAUUUUAACCACUAGCAUUACAGCUAACAGCUAUACAGGCUAUCUGGUAAAGUGUGUCCCCUUAUUGAGCAUUGACCCGCUCCAAACAUCAUCUUCUGGGAUAUAAAAUUAAGCCUAAAAUAUGUGAGCUGUUUUGCAGUUUUCUGCAUUUGCAUUAUAAAACAUAACAUCAGUCAAAUGCAUCACCGUUUAUAUUUGUGACAUAUCAAACCUUUCUGUUUGCUUAUGUGUCAGCCAUCCUCUUUUAUCAUCAUUUUAAACGUGGCUCUAAAUCUGAGACUAUUUAACUUCGGAAGAUGCGUCAGAAGUUCAGAGAUGUAUUCUUGUUCCCACUUUACCUCUCUGGUAUUGGGCCAAAGCCAGAUUGUCAGAAGGUCCAGCUGCUGUGCAGUUGAAGCUUCUAGCAGAAUCUGCUGGUUGUUCUCAGAGUAUAAAUAAAAGAGGGACAUCUGGGCCACUCUGCUCAGGCUGCUGCCCCAUGACCUGAUCCCGGUUGAGCAGAGGGAGAUGGAUGGAUGAAACUUUCUUAUGUUGUUUGCAACAUUAGUUUUCUUAGUUUUAGGAGAUGAUUCACUCUCUGCUGAGCAACAUAGGUAGAUCACCACAAGAGGGCAACAACGUUACAUACAAUGUGAGUAAAGGAGGAGAGCAGAUAGGACAUAAAAGGAGGGACACAGGAAAGUGGAAAGUGACUAUUAUUAUUAUUAUAAUUAUAUUUUUUAUUUUGUAAUAAUAAUAAUAAUAAUAACUAUUAUUUGUAUUAUUAUAAUUAUUGUUGUAAUUAU